CUGCACUGGGACUGAGAAUUAACUUUUCCCGGGCAGACUGGGCAUCUUCCUUGGCUGUAGGAUACAGCCUGCUUGCCGCUCUAGAUUUUAUGGAUCCUGGAUAACACGGAUCCAUCUGCCUCUGUGGGGGAAAAGGAGAGAAGUGGUCCUGAGAUGUCUGAUCGAAUACAUGGGGGAGAGACAAGAAGAACUCAUCACUGACCACCACACUCACAAUGAAACCAACGUGCAAGCCGAACUCAGCAGUUGCCUGAUGAAAAUUUAUGUGUGCCAUCAGCCUGAUGCCAUUGGCAUCAUCAUGGAAGGACAGCCAGUGACAUCUAUCAAAAACCUAAACCAAACGACCUAUCAAAAGCAUGCUGCCUGCUCUUUGGACUUGCCUAUGCCCUGGAACUUAAGUAUGCACCGAAACUUGUGCACACUUUUGAGACCUAUCAGAGCAUUUUUGUUGGAAUGGAUCACAUGCGCCCUAAACCAUCAUCUAAAUACACAAAUGUCUUAGAUUACUUCUCAAUAACUUUUGCCAUUAUUAAAAAAUGCAAGUAAUCUCAACUUGAUAGCCUUAAAACUGACUUGACAGUUGAGUGUUUUCAGUUUGAUCUGUUACAUAUGUUGAAAAUAAGUUGUCUUUUGGCAAGUUACUCAUGUGACAGAAUUACAGUUAGUGUUUUCUUUUUGUGAUCAUUCUAAUGUGCUUCUGAUGAAAAUAGACUUUGGACUGUGUUCUGUACCAGUCAUUACCUCAUGAGGUAAAUAGACAACAGUAUUGUGUGAACAAUUCAGUUCUUUAAAAAUAAUGUUUGUUUAAAAUAGGGCUGAAAAUAUAGUCAAAAACCAUAUUUGAUGCAAUUACUUUGACAGAUACAGCAAUUUCACUGAGUCAGUGUAAUGUUAUGUCUCGCAUUUACCUUAAUCAAAACAUUGCAGCUUUGGAAAUUUGAAUAUUUUGUGCCUAAUUGUUAAUUCCUACUUCAAAAUCCAUAUAUACUUGAGUCAAUUUUUUAUUUGUUUUUAUUGAUGAUUUUCGUUAACAUUUAUGGCCACAUUUAUGAUCUGUUUUCCAGUCAUUGUUAGAAGUGAAAUUGGUUGCUAAACAUUAAACAAAUAUUCUAA